UACGAAGGGGGCUAGCGUUGUUCGGAAUUACUGGGCGUAAAGCGCACGUAGGCGGCUUUGUAAGUUAGAGGUGAAAGCCCGGGGAUCAACUCCGGAAUUGCCUUUAAGACUGCAUCGCUAGAAUUGUGGAGAGGUAAGUGGAAUUCCGAGUGUAGAGGUGAAAUUCGUAGAUAUUCGGAAGAACACCAGUGGCGAAGGCGACUUACUGGACACAUAUUGACGCUGAGGUGCGAAAGCGUGGGGAGCAAACGGG
rnacentral:rRNA from 1 species